GUGUCAGCAGCCGCGGUAAUACAGAGGGUGCGAGCGUUGUCCGGAAUCACUGGGCGUAAAGGGCGCGUAGGCGGUCUCUUAAGCGUGUGGUGAAAGCCCGGGGCUCAACUCCGGGUCGGCCGUGCGAACUGGGGGACUGGAGCUUGUCAGAGGCAGGCGGAAUUCCGGGUGUAGCGGUGGAAUGCGUAGAGAUCCGGAAGAACACCGGUGGCGAAGGCGGCCUGCUGGGACAGUGCUGACGCUGAGGCGCGACAGCGUGGGGAGCAAACAGGAUUAGAUACCCGAGUAGUCC
rnacentral:rRNA from 1 species